CAAGUCGAACGAGAAAGCCCGCAAGGGUGAGUACAGUGGCGUACGGGUGAGUAACACGUGGAUAAUCUACCCUCUAGUGGGGAAUACCGCUGGGAAACCGGCGACAAUACCGCAUAAGCUCGAGAGAGGAAAGCAGCAAUGCGCUGGAGGAGGAGUCCGCGGCUGAUUAGCUAGUUGGUGAGGUAACGGCUCACCAAGGCAAAGAUCAGUAGCCGGCCUGAGAGGGCACACGGCCACACUGGCACUGAAACACGGGCCAGACUCCUACGGGAGGCAGCAGUGGGGAAUCUUGCACAAUGGGGGAAACCCUGAUGCAGCGACGCCGCGUGAGCGAUGAAGCCCUUCGGGGUGUAAAGCUCUUUCGGCAGGGAAGAUGAUGACGGUACCUGCAGAAGCAGCUGCGGCUAACUACGUGCCAGCAGCCGCGGUAAUACGUAGGCAGCAAGCGUUGUUCGGAGUUACUGGGCGUAAAGGGUGUGUAGGCGGUUGGAUAAGUGUGGUGUGAAAUCUCCCGGCUUAACUGGGAGGGUGCGCUACAAACUGUCUGACUAGAGUGUGGGAUGGGUAAGUGGAAUUCCUGGUGUAGCGGUGAAAUGCGUAGAUAUCAGGAGGAACACCGGUGGUGUAGACGGCUUACUGGACCAUAACUGACGCUGAGACACGAAACCGUGGGUAGCAAACAGGAUUAGAUACCCUGGUAGUCCACGCCCUAAACGAUGCAUCUUUGGUGUGGGUCAUUCAUUUGAUCCGUGCCGGAGCUAACGCGUUAAAUAUGCCGCCUGGGGAGUACAGUCGCAAGGCUGAAACUCAAAGGAAUUGACGGGGGCCCGCACAAGCGGUGG
rnacentral:rRNA from 1 species